rnacentral:rRNA from 1 species
GACGAACGCUGGCGGCGUGCUUAACACAUGCAAGUCGAACGGAAAGGCCCUGCUUUUGUGGGGUGCUCGAGUGGCGAACGGGUGAGUAACACGUGAGUAACCUGCCCUUGACUUUGGGAUAACUUCAGGAAACUGGGGCUAAUACCGGAUAGGAGCUCCUGCUGCAUGGUGGGGGUUGGAAAGUUUCGGCGGUUGGGGAUGGACUCGCGGCUUAUCAGCUUGUUGGUGGGGUAGUGGCUUACCAAGGCUUUGACGGGUAGCCGGCCUGAGAGGGUGACCGGCAACAUUGGGACUGAGAUACGGCCCAGACUCCUACGGGAGGCAGCAGUGGGGAAUAUUGCACAAUGGGAGGAAGCGUGAUGCAGAAACGCCGCGUGCGGGAUGACGGCCUUCGGGUUGUAAACCGCUUUCGCCUGUGACGAAGCGUGAGUGACGGUAAUGGGUAAAGAAGCACCGGCUAACUACGUG